GACGAACGCUGGCGGCGUGCUUAACGCAUGCAAGUCGAGCGGUAAGGCCUUUCGGGGUACACGAGCGGCGAACGGGUGAGUAACACGUGGGUGAUCUGCCCUGCACUUCGGGAUAAGCCUGGGAAACUGGGUCUAAUACCGGAUAUGACCUCCUAUCGCAUGGUGGGUGGUGGAAAGAUUUAUCGGUGCAGGAUGGGCCCGCGGUCUAUCAGCUUGUUGGUGGGGUAAUGGCCUACCAAGGCGACGACGGGUAGCCGACCUGAGAGGGUGACCGGCCACACUGGGACUGAGACACGGCCCAGACUCCUACGGGAGGCAGCAGUGGGGAAUAUUGCACAAUGGGCGAAAGCCUGAUGCAGCGACGCCGCGUGAGGGAUGACGGCCUUCGGGUUGUAAACCUCUUUCAGCAGGGACGAAGCGCAAGUGACGGUACCUGCAGAAGAAGCACCGGCUAACUACGUG
rnacentral:rRNA from 1 species